ensembl:misc_RNA 7SK 7SK RNA
GGAUGUCAGGGCGAUCUGGCUGUGACAUCUGUCACCCCAUUGAUCGCCAGUGUUGAUUCUUCUGAUCUGGCUGACUAGGCGGGUGUCCCCUUCCUCCCUCACCACUCCAUGUGUGUCCCUCCCGAAGCUGCACGCUUGGUGGAAGAGGAUGGCCUUCCCCGAAUAGAGACUGACCAGUCUUCGGUGGAGGGUAUACGAGUAGCUGUGCUACCCUGCUAGAACCUCCAAACAAGCUCUCAAUUUCUGUUUCUAUCCAAAAUAAAUAAAGUCAUAUCAACAAAAUUUGAAAAUUUAAAUGAUGCAAGACCUAUGCAUAAAAUAU